GCAAGGAACUAUAGAUCUGGACCAAGUUGGGUACUGGAUGUAGACAAUCUGUAUCUCAUUCUGGAUGUAGACAAUUGUGACAAGUUUUUAGACAUCACCCCAUAAGUAACUCAGCAGGGUUGACUCAUUGAUCAAGAAGCAACACAUUGAGCAAUCAGAAGCUUGGCAAGACAUGUUGGCUGGCCAGUCUUGUCCAACAAUUGGCUUCAGGGCAUCCUUUGUUGUCUGCACCAUCCGUUCAACCUGUCCAUUUCCUUGAGGAUGAUGAGGUACAAUUGUGACAGCCCAGAUAAGUGUAGGGGACCCACGGGAGACUGCCACGGAACGCCUGGCUCUGCCGCCCCUUUGUUCGGGGCUACCACUGCCUUUUGCGGCUGACCGUGCUGCCGGCACAGCCGAACACACAGAAUUGGCUGGCCCCCUUGGCCAGAUGGCCUUUUGCCAUCUGACAACGAAAACGACAAAGUCUUGCAAGACUCCCUCAGGAACUCUCACAAGAGUUCCAGCGAGACCAGGAACUCUCGCGAGAACAUGUGUGAGACUUCCCUGCUAUAUAAAGGCAGGUUGGCCCAUGGUGAGGGCCAGAUGGGCACGGGCUGCCCUUGAGGAGGGAGCCCCAGGAGCCAGGCCCAGGGCUAGAUAAAGGCCCCUGAUCAUGCUGUGAGGUAACAGAUGACAGGAGCAGCCAACACUAUGGCCUGAAACUCUGAAGCCAGAACUAACCUGAUAGUCCCAAGCAGUCGGACCCUCUUGGCCCUGUCACCGGGCCUCACAAUAAGGUAUCUGUUCAUAAAGUAACCAAGAAGCCAUGAAGCCAUAUUGACUUUGCAAGACCAUUUCAGGGAAAGACCUGCCUGAUUGUGGUAGACUCUUGUUUGAAAUGGCUUGAAGUGGUCUUAGUGCCCUCACAAACAUCUGCACUGCACAUUACAGAACUGCACCACUUAUUUGCAACCCAUGGAUUACCUGACACUGUGAAACCAUUGUCUGAGACGACAGUGUGGGAGGCCCCACAGUCAAGUCAAAAGGACAGCUUGCUUUUGAUCAGGGCGAACCAUUUUGUUUGCUUCAAGAUAAAAGAAAACCCUCUCUACAUAUGAAUCCCAGGAACUAGGCUGACUAAAAUCAAACUCUUCAAUGUGUCCAAGAGCAGCCAUUUAGCACAGGAUCUGCUCAGGUUUUCAAUUAGGGGCUUAUUUCAAACUGCUUACCAGUAGCACUUGAAAACAGAUUCACACUUCCUGCUGGUCUUUAGCUUAGUGGUGCAUUUUUGCACGGACCACGGGGCAGGAGUCCGUGGCCUCCUGCCUCCUGGGGGGCCUUCCCAGAGCCCCGAUGCCCCACCGCUAUUUCCUCUUCAGCAGCCACUUACCACUCACCCACUGGCAGCAGCUGCGGCAUGCACAGGCGGGUCUCCCUGGCCUACAGACCGGCCUCCUCGAGUCUGCAGACCAGCCUCCUCUGUCUACGCGCAUGCGCAGUAGGAGUUAUGGAGUGUUGCAUCCCGUCAUGCAUGCAGACAAAGGAGGCCGGUCUGCAGGCCCGAGGCCCGCCUGCACCCACCCGCUGGCCCACUAGUGCCAGGGUGAGUGGCGGUGGGGCUGGGCAGCAGCAUAUUUUUUAAAAAAUAAAAAUAAAGCGGGGCCUCGCAGUGGGGAGCCCUCUGAAGCCUUUGACCCAGGUGCCAAAAAUAUCUAGGUGUUCCUCUGCUUCAGCUCGCAGCUGAUCCCAUCUUAGUUGCCAAAAGUGCUGUGUUGGUAGCAGGAAAAAUGCUACCAGCUGCAGAGGUCCAAAAAGCACAAUUAAACAAAAUAGUGCCCCCUGGCAUACAUAACAGUUUACUCGCUUAUUUUUUCUCAGGUAGGAUAAGAACCUGCUGACAAAUCUAUCAUCUAUAAAUUUAUUCAAUCCUCUUUUAAAGCCAUUUAAGACCAUGGCCAUUACUACCAUUUUGUUGCAGCAAAGUCAAUAGAUCAAUAAUAUGUUGUGUGAAAAAGUCAUUUCUCUUGUUUGUCUUGAAUCUACUGCCAGUCAAGUCCAUUAGGGUGACCCCAGAAUCUACUGUAGUCUUGAGAGGAAGAUAAAUUCUUCACUGUCCAUUACAGCUACACCAUGCGUGAUUUUAAAACUUCUAUCAUACUCUCCCUGCUCAAUUGUCUUUCCCCCCCUAAGAUAAAUAGCCCCCAAACACAUUAACUUUUCCUUGCCAGGAAAUGGUUCAGUCUAGGAACUUACUAUUUAUACUGGCACAGUUGUGUCAGUAUAGUUAAGAUGAGGAGCAGGCGCGUAACAAUGAUAGGGCAAGGGGAGACAGUUGUCUGGGGGCCCCACUGCCUGGAGGGGCACCCCAGAGGCACCUCAUGUGACUCCCCAUUGCCCCCUGCCCAGCCCCAUAGCCUCUCAGCCACUUGCCCUCUUCGCCGUCUCUCCUGCUUGUUCUGCUGGCCGCAAUCGAAGCAGCAGGCAAGCUGCAAAGAGCUCCUUUUCUCCCGCCUCUCAGCUGAUCGGCGGGUGGGCGGGGCUUCCACGGAGGCCUCCGUGUAGGCCGCAGUGAAGCCUGAACUCGAGUAGGGCCCAAGCAAGCCAGGAAGGAGGAAGCAGCCAGAGUGUUCUCUGCAGCAGAAGACCCCUUGCUGCCCUGCUUAACCCAGACCAGCAUUUGCCAGACAGGUGCCAGAAAGUCUGAGGACAAGAGAAGAUGCCCAUUUGCAAACUCAGAGAUGCAGAUUUGCUUUGGGAAUGUCAACAGAGCAAUGUUCUUCCCAACAACUGUUAAUAGGAGAUGGAACCCAGAUCCUGUUUACCCUGGACUGACUUAAUAUCCUGAACUGAUCAAUAAUUAGAAGACAGGAUCUAGAGGGUAACAGCAAUUAACACCUUUUGUGAUGCAAGAAGAAUGAUGAUAUUUUGAAUAGACUCUAUGGAGAUCAAAUGAUGGAACAACUAUAAGAACAGAGCCCACCAGACAGAGAGCAGCAAGCUUUGCCUAACCAGCAGAUCUUUGCUCAUGUGUGCAUUCCAAGUGCCUGCUAUCUAGCUGCAGAGCUAACAGAGGCCUGAAACCUGCAGACAAGAGACUGCUCAGUGAUUCUUGCCACGGGGCGAAGAAUCAAGGGCUAACUCUGUCUGUGGGAAGAGUAUGUGGGUUUCAGGUUCCCUCCCUGGCAUCUCCAAGAUAGGGCUGAGAGAGAUUCCUGCCUGCAGCCUUGGAGAAGCCGCUGCCAGUCUGUGUAGACAAUAUUGAGCUAGAUGGACCAACGGUCUGACUCAGUAUAUGGCAGCUUCCUAUGUUCCUAUGAAGGCUCAUCAUUCCCAAGCCUCGUAUCCAAGCAGUGUACACUUGCUGCCCCACAUCGGACCCCGGUAAAUAUGCUGCUUCUACAGCCUUGGUUUCCACUUCCCUUACCCCUUCUUACUACUGAUUCCCAACCAUCCCAUUCCUGUGCCUUCCUUACCUCCCCCCUCUCUCUUUCCAUCUAUAUCUGAAUUGUGUUAGGUUUUAGGAAGAUUUAAUACUGACCUUAUAUGCAUCCAGACAUAUGUGAUAGUUAUGUCACUGGGUUGAUGUUAUUACUAGCUAUGGCUGAAAUAUUACUAGUAGUUCUGAUUGAUUGUUCUGUUUUCUGCUCAGUUAGAUUGAUGCUGUUGCUCUUUUAUACUCAGUAAAGCCCUUUGAUUUGUU